rnacentral:rRNA from 1 species
UCUGUCCCGCUGAACCUUAAGCAUUUCAAUAAGCGGAGGAAAAGAAAACAACCAGGGAUUGCCUUAGUAACGGCGAGUGAAGCGGCAAUAGCUCAAAUUUGAAAUCUGGCGCUUGCGUCCGAGUUGUAAUUUGUAGAGGAUGAUUUUGGUUAGGUACCUUUCGAGUUCCUUGGAACAGGACGCCUUAGAGGGUGAGAGCCCCGUACGAUUGGAUGCCGAGCCUCUGUAAAUCUCCUUCGACGAGUCGAGUAGUUUGGGAAUGCUGCUCUAAAUGGGAGGUAAAUUUCUUCUAAAGCUAAAUACCGGCCAGAGACCGAUAGCGCACAAGUAGAGUGAUCGAAAGAUGAAAAGCACUUUGAAAAGAGGGUUAAAUAGCACGUGAAAUUGUUGAAAGGGAAGGAUUUAUGACCAGACUUUUUCUAGGAGAAUCAUCCGGUGUUCUCACCGGUGCACUUCUUUUAGUUUAGGCCAGCAUCGACUUUCGGCGGUGGAUAAAAGCUUUAGGAAUGUGGCUUCUCUCGGGAAGUGUUAUAGCCUAUUGUAUAAUACACUGCUGGGGGUCGAGGUACGCGCUUCUGCAAGGAUGCUGGCGUAAUGGUUAUCAAUCACCCGUCUUGAAACACGGACCAAGGAGUCGAACAUUUGUGCGAGUGUUUGGGUGUUAAACCCUCACGCGUAAUGAAAGUGAACGGAGGUGAGAGCCCUUACGGGUGCAUCAUCGACCGAUCCUGAUGUUUUCGGAUGGAUUUGAGUAAGAGCAUAAAUGUUCGGACCCGAAAGAUGGUGAACUAUGCGUGGAUAGGGUGAAGCCAGAGGAAACUCUGGUGGAGGCUCGCAGCGGUUCUGACGUGCAAAUCGAUCGUCAAAUCUGCGCAUGGGGGCGAAAGACUAAUCGAACAUCUAGUCGCC